rnacentral:lncRNA from 1 species
CCGGUGGUUUCUCCCAGACACUGUGAGAAUCUGGUGGUUUAUGGGAAAUUUCAUGUACAUCGCAAUGAGUUCAGAACAGACGGCAAAGCAGAGUAGUGACAGAUGUACAAAAGAGGGCAGGGUAAGCUACGAAGGACCAAAGCGACUGACUAAACACACACUCUCUUCAUCCUCUGUCUGGACACUGGGCCCUGGUCACUACCUAAAGCCAUUUAAACCAGUAAAAUGUCUCUUUUCGCUCAAUUUAGCCCACGGUGGUUUCCAGACUUGCCUUCAUUAAGCAUAGGGCCAUUCUUUCUCUUCUUAUUUUCCCAAUCUGUGUUCUGGCUCUCAAACAGAUGGAGAAUUGGAUGGAGAAGCACCAGCAGAAUCACAAGUCGUGCCCCCAAAGCAACCCAAAGGUCGGCUUGGCAAGAAGGGCAAAGGAGGGAAGAAAGGCCGCGGUGGCCCAACUGCCCAGGAAGACCAAGAUCAUUUACCAGGAAAGCAUCAGGGAGGCCAAGGUCGCCAGGGUGGUCGAGGUGGUCGAGGUGGUAAAGGUGUUAGAGGUGGCCAGAGUGGGAGAGGUGGCCAGAGAGGCCAGAGCCAGAGCUUUCCUUCUGCCCAGUGACGUGGAAACCCCUUUGGAGAUGGCCCCAGUGAUGCCCCAGAAAUCGAUGGAGAUCAACGGGUGAUCGUGGACUUUUCAACAGCGUAUACUUCUUUCCCUUUCCUUUCUCCACCUUCAAAACGUCAAUAAAAUCAUCAGCAU